rnacentral:rRNA from 1 species
AAUAGAUACCCCGGUAGUCCACGCCGUAAACGAUGGAUACUAGCUGUCGGGGGUAUCGACCCCCUCGGUAGCGAAGCUAACGCGUUAAGUAUCCCGCCUGUGGAGUACGGUCGCAAGACUAAAACAUAAAGGAAUUGACGGGGACCCGCACAAGCGGUGGAGGAUGUUCUUUAAUUCGAUGAUAAGCGAAGAACCUUACCAGGGCUUGACGUCCGCGUAUUUUUCCGAAAGGAAAAGUGCCCCAAGAGCACAUAAUUGUUAUUUUCUGUGUGUUGUUGGGGGAACGCGGUGACAGGUGCUGCAUGGCCGUCGUCAGCUCGUGUCGUGAGAUGUUUGGUUAAGUCCAUUAACGAGCGCAACCCUUAUGAAUAGUUGGAUUUUUCUAUUCAGACUGCCCCGGCAACGGGGAGGAAGGAGGGGAUGAUGUCAGGUCAGUAUUGCCCUUACGUCCUGGGCUAGAAACGUCCUACAAUGGCUGGUACAAUGCGCAGCUAAGCAGCAAUGUGGAGCAAAUCGCAUCAAAGCCAGUCCCAGUUCGGAUAGCAGG